UUUAAGUUUAUUUUAAAUAAAAUAUUUAAGUUACAUUUAAAAGAUUAAUGAUAAUUAAACUUUAU
rnacentral:tRNA from 1 species